rnacentral:rRNA from 1 species
CGCUGGCGGCAUGCCUAACACAUGCAAGUCGAACGAACCCUUCGGGGUUAGUGGCGCACGGGUGCGCAACACGUGGGAAUCUGCCCUUUGCUUCGGAAUAACAGUUAGAAAUGACUGCUAAUACCGGAUGAUGUCGUAAGACCAAAGAUUUAUCGGCAAAGGAUGAGCCCGCGUAGGAUUAGGUAGUUGGUGGGGUAAAGGCCUACCAAGCCGACGAUCCUUAGCUGGUCUGAGAGGAUGAUCAGCCACACUGGGACUGAGACACGGCCCAGACUCCUACGGGAGGCAGCAGUGGGGAAUAUUGGACAAUGGGCGAAAGCCUGAUCCAGCAAUGCCGCGUGAGUGAUGAAGGCCUUCGGGUUGUAAAGCUCUUUUACCAGGGAUGAUAAUGACAGUACCUGGAGAAUAAGCUCCGGCUAACUCCGUG